CGCACCUUGCGCUCCUUGGUAUUCCGAGGAGCAUGCCUGUUUGAGUGUCAUGAAGUUCUCAACUCUAAGAGCAUUUGUUUGUUCUCUGAGCUUGGAAUUGGAGGCUUGCUGGCGAUGGCCAGCUCCUCUCAAAUUUAUUAGCUGGGCUGUGCUCGAGAGAAAACAGUCGGUGUGAUAAUUAUCCGCGCCGUCACUGAAGUAUCUCGGAUCCCGCUUCUAAUCGUCCCUCGGGACAAUCUACUCUGACAUCUGACCUCAAAUCAGGUAGGAUUACCCGCUGAACUUAA
rnacentral:misc_RNA from 1 species